AAUCAGAAACUGCUGGAAAUAACAGCUACUCUGGGGAGAGGAAUCUGUUUCAUCAGAAUAUUAGAGAUUUUAACAAGUUUUAAGCAGUUAUAAGGAGAUGACGAACACAAAGAGGUCAGUGUGAAAGAGGAGGGCAGCAGAGAUGAAAUGAGAAAAGGGAUGAUGGUGGAAAGCAAAAGGGGAUGGUAAAGGGACAAGGAAAAGAAACAAAAGAUGGGUCCAGAGGAGAUGGAAAGAGAGACCUGGGGGAGGAGCCUCACUGAUCUGUGAUCGGGCAGAGUCUGCACCAACAGGAAAAACAAGCCAGCAGCACCGACUCACUCUAUCUCAAAGCUGUCCUUGUCCCCAGUUUCAACUUCUCUCCGACUAGGGAAAACAAUCGCCUCGUGUGGGGUUUUUAAAGCAUUACUCCAAAGACUCAAAAUAUACUGGUAAAUUUUGAGUAUCUGCCAGACCCUUUGUAACUCAUCAGUGGCUGUCCUCAUGUUGCAAUAGUGGAAUGGGGCAUCCCCUUGCUGUAGCACCUGCCUGAUCAUACUGGCCUUAUCGAGGCAGGACCUGUUGCGGGAGAUUCGGAUGAUGCCGGUGGUGGGCAGGCUGGAAAAGCCCACCCUGGGUGGUGACCUACUCUGCCAGGUCACCUUGCAGUUUGAAGACUAUGCUCAUUUGCAGAACUCUAUAUGACUCUGAGCUGACACUGGGAAUAUGUAAUUACUGAAAAAUAAAAUUAAUUUUACUGUCAUACAAGAUGAAAAAAAUACUUUUGGUUGGCAGCAAUAAUUCAAAGUAAUAUUUUAUUUUUAGUUCAUGCUUGGGUCUGAACCGCAAUUGGGAGUGUGCUCACUGAUGGAUUAUAAAAUAAAAUAAUUAAUUUAGCAGAGUUCUUGAUAAUUAAUUGGCAGAUGUUUCAGAUUUUUCAGUAUUUCUUCAAUCAUUUUUGAACCUCUCAUUAAUUAAAAGUAGUUCUUAAUCCUCCAUAUAAUUUGCUAUGUUCCAGUUUACUGGGCAGGCAGGCAAAACUAUUCCCUGCCUAAUGCCAAUACCAUCCCCUGAGCUAGGAGAUUUAACUGAAAGCCUGCAAUGAACCUCAUUUUAAACUUUUCUCCCUUACUAUUAAAGUGCCUGUUCCUCUCUUCAAUUUUUCUUGAUGGCAUGUCUGAAACUGGGAACUCACUAUGUGGAGAAUCGUGGGAAUGUACCAACACCCUGCCACUUGCUCAUACUGGAAAAUUAGUUCUCAGCUGCAGAACUAAAUUAAAAUAAAGCAAUGUCUUCAUACAUACAGUUAAUUCUUCUUCUCAUUCGAAGAAAAUAUUAUGACUAUCAAGUACCCUUUAGUUAACACUUGCCUAAUUGAGACCUUUCAUCCAAUAAAAUUUGAUAUAAAAUAAUCGUGUGUGCUAUUUCCUUGAAUUGAAAUUAUAAUCCACCAAAAUACUCUCAAAAAAUAUUGCUCUAUUGUACAAGCAGUGAUUAAGCAGCAUUGUGAAUGAAUUAAAUUUUUAUAAACCGUC